AUUGAACGCUGGCGGCAGGCCUAACACAUGCAAGUCGAACGAGUGGCGGACGGGUGAGUAAUGUCUGGGAAACUGCCUGUUGGAGGGGGAUAAUUACUGGCAACGGUAGCUAAUACCGCAUCCCAUCAGUUUUGCCCAUAUUGGAUUAGCUUGUUGGUGGGGUAACGGCUCACCAAGGCGACUAUCCCUAGCUGGUCUGAGAGGAUGGACAGCCACACUGUAACUGAGACACUGUGCAGACUCCGACGGGAGGGAGUAGUGGGGAAUAUUGCUCAAGGGGCGCAAGCCGGAGGCAGCAAUGCACGGUGUAGGAAGAAGGCUUUCGGGUGGUAAAGUACUUUCAGCGGAGAGGCGUUACCCGCAGGAGAAGCACCGGCUAACUCCGGGCCAGCAGCCGCGGUAAUUC
rnacentral:rRNA from 1 species